rnacentral:rRNA from 1 species
UACGUAGGGAGCAAGCGUUGUCCGGAAUCAUUGGGCGUAAAGCGCGCGUAGGCGGCCCUGUAAGUCCGUUGUGAAAGUCAAAGGCUCAACCUUUGAAAGCCGAUGGAUACUGCGGGGCUAGAGUCCGGAAGAGGCGAGUGGAAUUCCUGGUGUAGCGGUGGAAUGCGCAGAUAUCAGGAGGAACACCAACGGCGAAGGCAGCUCGCUGGGACGGUACUGACACUGAGGCGCGAAAGCGUGGGGAGCGAACAGG